AAAUAAACCAGUUUGUAAAAUACACAAUAAGUCAACAAGUUUCAGUUCAACCCACUUCACCAUGUUCCCCGCUGUGCUGGUCUCGGUCACGCCGAGUUAACGGUGAAGCACCAUGUAAUAUGCAAGCUAAAGUUAGAGUUAGCCAUCUGCUAUUAGCCUUGCUGCACUGUUAGCCGUGCCAGUAACGGUAGAAUGAACAACAGUACACAUUACGUAAU
rnacentral:lncRNA from 1 species